GCUUCUCAGAAAAUUGAAAAAGGCCAGAGUGGCACAGGACUUGAUGAUAUCUGAGGAGCAGCUAUACCAGAAUUUUAAAAUAGCAAAAUGCUAGUCAGCUCUAGUUGAAAAACUAUAAAGGAAUGUCCUAACAAGUGCCCACGCUCACAACUUCCUUCCCGAGGAGGUUCAUUUACAUUAUAAUGGUUGCCAAGGUUACUUUAAUUCCAUCACCGCUCUUUUUUCUAGUUGCUAAUCUGGAGCACGGGACUGGGUGGUACACAUUAACAACCAAAACUUCAACUAAGGCUAACUCAAAACUCAGGCUACUCAAAAGUUCAUGACCUACAAAAGAAGAGUAGUUCUAGCAACAGAAAUUGCAGAAAGGAUAGAGAAACACCUUCUGUAAUAAAGAAACUCACUCUCCCUUCUUCACAAAUUAUCCAUUUCUUCAAUUAACUAGACAAGACAUCAAAUACACAACUGCAACUUCAGCUCUGACCAACCUCCCAAAACACCUCUAUUUUCAAUCUUUCCCAGGCCCAAGGAGAACAGAAUUCACAAAUUAUGCUAAUACAAAAUACGGGCUACUUUCUCAGAAAACUCAUAAAUGUUCAAAUAUAUGGUAAGACCAUUACACAAGCUCAACAAAUAAAAAGAAAUUGCCUGUUAGUGAAAUAACAAAAACAUCCACAAAAAAAUAUACAAAUUAACUAAGAUUUAAAAAGUUCAAUCUGAGCUUUGGAACAGAGAAAUGAAACUUCAACUGAAAAGCAAGAGAGUCUAGGCUUUGGAGUCAAACAGAUUAGAGUUCUGUUAGUUCCAUCACAUUACUAAAUGUGUAACCUUAAGACAAAUUCCUUAAUUCUUCAAUUCUGUUUCCUCAAUAAAACAAAGAGAAUACUA